rnacentral:tRNA from 1 species
AUAAGAAGAAAGCUAAGAAAGCAAUACGGUUUCGGCCCGUAACCAGAAGUUAAUUAAAAUUCUCUUCUUUUUGUAC